rnacentral:rRNA from 1 species
UACGGAGGGGGCUAGCGUUGUUCGGAAUUACUGGGCGUAAAGGGCGCGUAGGCGGAUGUUUAAGUCAGAGGUGAAAGCCCAGGGCUCAACCUUGGAACUGCCUUUGAUACUGGGCAUCUUGAGUAUGGGAGAGGUGAGUGGAACUCCGAGUGUAGAGGUGAAAUUCGUAGAUAUUCGGAAGAACACCAGUGGCGAAGGCGACUCACUGGCCCAUUACUGACGCUGAGGCAUGAAAGCGUGGGGAGCAAACAGG